rnacentral:rRNA from 1 species
AUUGAACGCUGGCGGCAGGCCUAACACAUGCAAGUCGAGCGGGGUUUUCGGACCUAGCGGCGGACGGGUGAGUAAUGCGUAGGAAGCUGCCCGAUAGAGGGGGAUACCAGUUGGAAACGACUGUUAAUACCGCAUAAUGUCUACGGACCAAAGUGUGGGACCUUCGGGCCACAUGCUAUCGGAUGCGCCUACGUGGGAUUAGCUAGUUGGGGAGGUAAGGGCUCACCAAGGCGACGAUCUCUAGCGGGUUUGAGAGGAUGAUCAGCCACACUGGAACUGAGACACGGUCCAGACUCCUACGGGAGGCAGCAGUGGGGAAUAUUGGACAAUGGGCGCAAGCCUGAUCCAGCCAUGCCGCGUGUGUGAAGAAGGCCUUCGGGUUGUAAAGCACUUUCAGCGAGGAGGAAGGGAUGUAUGUUAAUAGCAUGCAUUUUUGACGUUACUCGCAGAAGAAGCACCGGCUAACUCUGUGCCAGCCGCCGCGGUAAAAC